CUUACUUUUUUCUUCCUUGUUCAUGAAUGUUACCUUCCAUGGCUAGAAGGAUCUACCGGUUCCUUUGGUUUUGCUUCUGUGCCUCUCACGUUUUGUCAGCAGACACACUGUACCAAGGUGGUGAUUCCCUCAAAUCUUCCAGUACUCUAGUUUCCAAAAAUAGGCUCUUCACUUUAGGAUUCACAAGACUCGGCUCUGCUAGCUACUUGGGAAUAUGGUACAACAAUGACAGAAGCCACCCUUUUUGGCUAGCCAACAGAGACAAACCCAUAGCAGACAAUUCAGGGGUUCUUGCAAUAGAUGGAUCAGGAAAUAUGAAACUCACCUACUCUGGAGGUGAUCCUGUUGAGUUCUAUUCAAGUCAAUCUUCUGCAAGCAAUAUAACAGCUAGUUUAGAAGAUUCAGGCAAUUUUGUUCUCAAAGAUGAAAAUUCUAGCAGCCAAACGGUCUUAUGGCAAAGCUUUGACUUUCCUACUGACACAUUCUUGCCUGGAAUGAAGUUAGGCAUCUAUAGAACUGGCCGACCAUUGAGGAGCAAUACUAGUUCCCUCAUGUCGUGGUUGAGCGACUUAGUUCCCACUCCCGCUGGUGCUUUCACUUGUGAAUGGGAUACUAAGGGAAAGGAGCUGGUCAUUAAGCGGCGAGAUGUAACUUAUUGGACUAGUGGACCAUUGAGGAGCAAAUACUAGUUUCGAAAACUUUUUUCUGGAUGCAGCGGUUCUUGAUUUCAGUUUUUUUAAUGAUUCUAACGCAGACGAGGAUUACUUUAUGUUCGCAGUUUCUGCAAAUCAAUUUACUCCUCAGGGUCAAAGGAAUUUUUCAAUGUGGCAGUUGAGAUAUGAUGGGAUCAUAGUAGAUAAGACUACUGGUCGAGCAUUUGGGGGCACAUUAUGCAAAGGAAGUGGUUGCGAGUGGUGGUCAUGCAGGAGCAAUAGUAACAAUUUUGAAUUGAGAUCAGGUUCCUUUGUUAACACAGUUCCUAGGAAGGACGACGAUAAUCCUAGUCUUAGCAUUAGUGAUUGCAUGGACAUCUGCUGGAAAGAUUGUCAAUGUGUUGGUGUUACUACCAGAGGCAAUAAUGCCAACAAUACUGGAUGCACGUUUUAUUAUGGAAGCUUUACACAAGACCUGAGUGGAAAUGCAAUUCAACACUACAUCAUUGUUGGUCAAGGCUCUUCAGGUUAGCUUUUCUUUUGUUUUCUAAUACUAAGAGAAUCUUGCUCUAAAGACCAAGUCUUGAGAUGCAUUCAUGUGGGCUUGCUAUGUGCAUUCAUGUGGGCAUUGCAUUCAACAAAUUGAUUUUGACAUGAAGCAAACUCUUCUUAGUAACCUUCAGAGAUCCAUCAUUGAAUCACAUGUCUUGUGCCCGCCUUGAUUGAAUUUGGUAAUUGGAAUGAGUACAAUCUAAAUCCCUUAACGAGGAUCAAUUGGAGGGCAAGUCUGGUGCCAGCAGCCGUGGUAAUUCCAGCUCCAAUAACGUAUAUUUAAGUUGUUGCAGUUAAAAAGCUCGUAGUUGGACUUUGGGUUGGGUUGAUCGGUCCGCCUCAAGUGUGCAUUGGUCGCCUCGUCCCUUCUACUGGCUCAAAAAGGGAUCGCAAAUGAUGUACUUAUUUCAGAACGUGAAAGGAAUAACAAAGACGGCCUUUCCUCAUUUCAAACGCAAGCAGUUAAGAUCAAUAAACUUUGACCUCAUCUAGUUAUGAUGGUUUGGUUUUUGCAAAGAUGCAUUUCAUGAGUCAUGAGUAACGAGUUCACUACAUACCAUUAUUCAUACAUUUAAAAACACACGAUUCAAGAGUCAUAGGGAAUGGGUGUUUGAUUCAUUUCUUUUUUUCUUUUUUCUUUUUUUUCUUGGUUUAUAAUUUAGUCACCUCAUUGAUGGAGUUGCUUGAUUCAAUUGUCAUUCUAUAAGUAGAAUGUUAAAAAUAUCAUUUUUGAAAGAACAUCAAAUUAUUUUUUUGAAAUCAAAAUACCAGAUCAAUUUUUCAAAACUCCAAUAGGGAAAUGGAUUUUGGUACAAGAGAUGAAUUGCGUCUAUGAGAUCACGCAAGGCUUCAAAUGUGUAUUCGUAAGUUCUUAUAAGAAAACUCUCUUAAGAAGAUGAAUAAUGCUUGGUCGUAAACACGAUUGAAUGAGAAACUCAUUAUUUCAUUGAAACUUUGGAAAAGAAGUUUAACAACAAAGAACUUAUACCAACAUGAAUACUGGCAUGAUAACACAAAAGGGGCUAAACAUUUAGUGAUCAUUCAUUGGAAUUUUCAAAAUCUUUCAAGCAUUCAUUCUGCUCGACAAGGGCAUCUUUUCAACACUUAGUUGCAGUCGCAUGCAGACCAUUCUCGACCUACUAUCACCAUAGCUUUAUCUUCAAAAUAGUUGAUUUCUGGGAGUCGGUGUGAAACAAUUAGCUAUAGGAACGAUAAGUGCCUUGGCAACCACCUUCAGUGAAAUUGUUCUUCUCAAUUGGGUUAGCAAUCUUACCUAACCCAAUGGCUUGUUUAAUCCUCUCAGCUAUAACAACCAGGUUAGUGAAAUGUUGUGCAGAGCUUCUAACCAAGUAUUCAAAGUACAGAGCUUUAAAGGUGUUGGAAAAUAAACUGAUCAUCUCUUUUUCCAACAUGGGAGGGUUAACUUGUGUAGCUACCUCACUCCAUCUUCUAGCGUAUUCCCUUAUGAAGUCCUUGUUGUCCUUCUCCAUAGCUUGCAAGCUUAACCGAUUUCUUCAUCCUUCUUGCUUCAGUCUGCGUAGUCUUCUUUCACAAGUAAUCAACUAAGCUUUCAACAGCCUCUCCUAAGUUGUUUACUGGUUUAACCCAAGCUUCAGCCGUAGUUGCUUGAAUCUAUCCUUAGGUAGUGCUUUCGUGAAGAUGUCUGCAAGUUGUUCUUCGCUUCUGUAGAACAUGACAUUAAUUACUCCUUCUUGCAGAGCCUCUCUUAUGAAAUGAUACUUCUUGUUUAUGUGUCUUGUUCUUUGAUGGAAAAUAGGAUUUUUGGCCAUUGAAAUUGCUGACAUGUUAUCACAGAACAAGGGUGUUGCCUCGACUUGCAUUUCAACAAAAUCAUCAAGAACAAACCUUAACCAAAUGGCCUAAGCAGUUGCUUCAAAUGCUGAGACACUGUGUUCUGUUUCACUGAGGACCAGGAGAAUGCUCCACUUCCAAAGUUGAAUGCAUAGCCCGAAGUGCUCCUGCUAUCAUCUUCACUUCCUGCCUAAUCUGCAUCACAAAAUCCAAUGAGAGUUGUUGAUUGAUCCCUUGCAUAUUCAAUCCCAUAGCCGAGAGUUCCUUGCACAUAUCUUAGGACUCUUUUUGCAGCUCCCAUGUGAAUCUUGGUAGGUCCAGUCAUGAACCGUGAUAGUAAGCUUGCAUCAUACAUUAGAUCGAGUCUUGUAGCUGUCAAAUAUAGUAAACUUCCUACUAUUUUUCUAUAAAGUCCUUCAUCAGCCAAAUCACUCCCAUCCACUUUCUUUAGUUUCUCACCAGUGGCCAAGGGAAUGGAGACUGGUUUGCAGUCAUCAAGUCUAAACUUACUAAGCAGGGAUUUGGCAUAUUUCCCUUGAUGAAUAAAUACCCCUUGAUCGGUUUGCAGUAUUCCCAUGCCAAGAAAAUGAUGAAGGAGCCCAAGAUCAGACAUCUCAUACCUCUGCAUCAUUUCCUUUUUAAAUUCAUUGAGCAGCCUCUCACUGCUGAUAGUGUACACAAUGUCAUCAACAUAGAUUGAGACAAUGAUCAAAUUACCUUCCAUAUCUGACCUUGUAUACAAAGUAGCUUCACUUGUGCUCCUUUUGUAUUUGCACAUAGAGAGGUAUGCAUCAAUUUCACUAUACCAGGCCCUCGGUGCUUGCUUUAAUCUUACAAGGCCUUCAUUAGUUUGUAAACUUUGUGUCCUGCAUUCUUUACUUCAAACCCUUCAGGCUACUCAACAUAUACUUCUUCUUUAAGAACACCAUUUAUGAAUGCUGACUUAACAUCCAAUUAAAACAACUUCCACCCCUUCUAUGCUGCAAGUGCAAUGAGAGUCUGAAUUGUGUCUAGCCUUGCUACUGGUGCAAAUGUUUCAUUGUAAUCAAUUCAGAUUUCUGUGCAUAUCUUUUUGCUACAAGGCGAGCCUUGUGUUUUUGAACUAUUCCAUCAAGAUGAAGCUUAGUUUUGUACACCCAUUUCACUCCUAUCACAGGUUUAUCAAUCAGUCUCUCCACCAAUUCCCAAGUAUUGUUCUUCUCUAUCACUUCCAAUUCCUCCUUCAUAGCCUCCUGCCAUGCUUUAUCUCCAAGAGCUUCUUGAUAGUUCUCAGGUUCUAUGAUGUACAUGUGACACCUUGCAUAUAUAUCUUCCAAGGUUUUCAAUUUCACUAGAGUAGAGCUAGGUGAAGCUUGUUGACUGUUAUCACUGUCAAUAUUCUCAACUAACUCUCCAACUGUAGAGUUUUGAUUGCAAUGUUCAACAUUAUCGUGUUAGGCUGCAGCAGAGUGUUCUUCAGAAUUUUCACCUUCAACUUCACCUCCUUCAAGAUUGAGAGACAAGUGGCUUUGGUUCAUCAGAUUUCUUUCCCAGUUCCAUGCUCUAUCUUCACUGAAAAUCACACUUCUUGAGAGAACAAUCUUCUCAGUUUUCAGAUCAUAUAUUCUAUACCCCUUCUCACAGCUACCAUAUCCAACAAACGCUCCCUUUUCAGCUUUGUUAUCCCAUUUAUGCCUUAGUGAUGAUGGGAUAUGUGUGUAGCACAAGCAACCGAACACCUUUAGAUGCUUGACUCCUGGCUUUCUUCCCAUGAAGGCUUCAAAAGGAGUCUUUUCAGUAACAGAUGUUGUAUAACAUUUGUUUUGAAUAUACACAGCUGUAUUCACAGCUUCUGCCUAGAAGAUUACUGGCAUUUCUUUCUCUAUCAGCAUGGACCUUGCCAUUUCACAAAUUGUUUUGUUUCUCCUCUCUGCAACUCUAUUCUGUUGAGGAUAGUAUGCAACUGUCAGCUGCCUCUCCAUUCCUUGUUUUACACAGAAUUCUUCAAACUCCUUUGAAGUAUAUUCACCACCUCUGUCACUUCUCAACUUCUUUAAUUUAUAUACACUUUGCAGCUCAACAAAUGCUUUAAAUUUCUUGAACACAUUGAGUGCAUCAGAUUUGUUUCUGAGGAAAUAUACCCAGCACAUUCUUGAGUAAUCGUCAAUGAAUGUGAUGAAGUAUCUAUUCCCUCCCACGGAUUCAUUCUGCAUUGGUCCACACAGAUCAGUGUGGAUUAAUUCCAGUGGAUAGCUUGCUCUCUACGCUUGUUCUUUAUCGAAUUUCUCCCUGUGAUGUUUGCCCGAUGCACAGCCUGCACAUACAUCUUCUACUUCUGUCAGAACAGGAAGUCCACAUACCAUCUCUUUCUGCUACAUCUUCUUCAUGCUAGCAAAGUUCAAGUGUCCCAGUCUUCUAUGCCAUAUCUAGGAAUCCUCAGUCACUGAAGCUUUCCUUACUAUAGGUGUGAUGGAUUCAAGUGAAAGUGGGAAGCAUCGAUUUCCUCCCAUAAUCACUAUUGUUAUAACAUUGUUGAGGCUUUCAUCAUCAAAUAUUACUGCUUUGUUACCUCCAAACAGAAUGUAAUAACCAUGCUCCAUCAUCUGCCCUACACUUAAUAGAUUUUCAUCCAAUCCGGGAACAAGUAGUACCUCUUUUAUGUAUCUUUUCCCAUGCUGAGUUUCCACAACCAAUGUGCCUUUUCCAGUUGCUUGCAAAAGGUCUCCUGAGCCCAUCUUUACUUUGCAGGUUACUAUUCUAUCGAUGUUGAUUAGUUCAGAUUCUUGAGAGGUCAUGUGGUUGUUGUAGGCACUAUCCACAAACCAUACCUUUCUAUCUUGCAGACUUGCAGAAUGACAAGCAUAGAACAUGGUUCCAGUGGUAACUCUCUCUUCUUUGGCAUAAUUUGCUAGAUGUUUGUGACUGUGACUCUCACAAUCUUUUGCAAUAUGGCCAAACCGAUUGCAUCUUCCAUAUCUUGAUUUUUCUUUGUUUCUGCAUAAUCCAAAGUGUUGCUUCUGGUAGACUUGACACUGUGGCUUUACACUUACUUGACUACUUCCCUAAGCAGUGUUGUUCCAACUUGAAUUGUUGUAGUUGUUUAAGUUUCUGUUUGGAAGUGAAUUUGGUCCCCUCCUGUCUUGUGAUUGCCAUUUUUUAGAAGGUCUGCCUUGGAAACCCUUGUGUGAGCUGUAGGCUUGAUUGUUUCCAAUCUUUAAACUGCUAAAGGCUUGAUUGUUUCCAAUCUUUAAACUGCUAAAGGCUUUCUCUGUUCCUGUUAGUUUAUCCUUUUCAUCAUGUAGAUCCUCCCUUUUAUUAUAGACUUUAACAGAAGCGAUGACUUCUUCUGCUCUCAGAACAUCAAGAUCUCGUGUCUUCUCAAUGAUUGACACAAUGGAUUUAUAUCUUCUGCUUAGACUCAUUAGCAGUUUUUGCACAAUUCUGUUUUCUGAUACAUCUUCCCCUAAUGAUUUCAGUUUAUUCACAGUUGCAAAGAAUUUAGCUAGAUAUUCAUCUAAGCUUUCACCUUCUGCCAUUCUCAUGUAUUCAAAGUCUACUCUAACUGCUUGAAGUUUCACAGCUCUCACCUUUUUAUCUCCUCUGAAUUCUCUGCUCAAAUGUCCCAAGCUCCUUUUGUAGUCUUUUCAUUUCUUAUAUGUGGGAAGAGGUCGUCUGUUAAUGCUCCUUGUAUGAGGCUUAAUGCCUUUGCAUUCUUGAUUUUGUCUUCUCUGGAUGUAGUGGAUGCAUGCAAUGUAGUUUGCUCAGCUUCACUCUCUUCAUCGCCUGAUCCAGUUGCAACCCCAGGUGAUUUAUGAGAUUGUAUUCCAACUUCUAUUACUUCCCAUAGAUCGAAUGCUAUGAGGAUUGUCUCCAUUUUUACAGCCCAAAAAUCAUAGUUUGUGCCAUUGAACUGUGGAGUUCUUAGAUCUCCUCCAGCAGAGCUUGAUCCUACCAUUUUUGAGUAAUUAACAAUUUAAUCAAUCUGUUUUUAACAGUUUACGCCUCUUAGGAAUCAGUUUGUGAGCUCUGAUACCAUAUUUGUUUUCUAAAGGUGUAGAGAAGAAAACUAUAUUUAAGUUUGCAGAGAAGAUUGAGAAUAAAAUUCUUGUAUAUUUCACUAUUUUCUUAAUGCAGCAAACUCUGCAUUUAUAUACAUUGCAUGUAACUGAUUCCAUCAUUUUAGGAGCCGAAAUCCUCUCAUCCAUCCAUUAAUGGAGGGUCACGAUCCUUACACAUGUAUAAAACGGUUUGUAACAGUAAAAACAACUAUAAUUGCCACAACAGUUUUAACUGCCUUCUUAACCAACAGAACAAAAUUUCUUCUAUUUCUUCAUCCUUCUUCCUUCAGUCUGCGUAGUCUUCUAUCACAAGUAAUUAGCUUAACUUUCAACAGUUCAUGAAUGAGACCUUCCAUGGCUAGAAAGAUCUACCGGUUCCUUUUGUUUUGCUUCUGUGCCUCUCACGUUUUGGCAGCAGACACACUGUACCAAGGUGGUGAUUCCCUCAAUUCUUCCAAUACUCUAGUUUCCAAAAAUGGGUUCUUCACUUUAGGAUUCACAAGACUUGGCUCUGCUGAGUCGAAUGCUAGCUACUUGGGAAUAUGGUACAACAAUGACACAAUCCACCCUUUUUGGCUAGCCAACAGAGACAAACCCAUAGAAGACACUUCAGGGGUUCUUGCAAUAGAUGGAUCAGGAAAUAUGAAACUCACCUACUCUGGAGGUCAUCCUGUUGAGUUCUAUUCAAGUCAAUCUUCUACAACCAAUAUAACUGCUGUUUUAGAAGAUUCAGGCAAUUUUGUUCUCUUAGAUGAAAAUUCUGGCAGCCAGCAGGUCUUAUGGCAAAGCUUUGACUUUCCUACUGAUACAUUCUUGCCUGGAAUGAAGAUAGGGAUCAACCAUAGAACUGGCCAAACCUGGUCCCUCAUGUCGUGGUUGAGCGACUUAGUACCCACUCCCGCUGGUGCUUUCACUUUUGAAUGGGAUACUGAUGGAAAGGAGUUGGUCAUCAAGCGGCGCGGUGUAAUUUAUUGGACCAGUGGACCAUUGAAGGCCAAUACUAGUUUCGAAAUUCGUUCUCUGGAUCAAAGUUAUGUAAUACUUUCUAACGCAGACGAGGAUUACUUUAUGUUCACAGUAUCUGGGAAUCAAUUUACUGCUCUGGGUCAAAGGAAUUUUUCAAUGUGGCAGUUGAGAUCUGAUGGGAGCAUGACAGAUCAAAUUACUGGACGAUUAUAUGGGGGCACUGCAUGUAAAGGAAGUAACACAGAUGUUGGUUGCGAGACGUGGUCAGGACCGGCAUGCAGGAGCAAUAGGAACAGUUUUGAAUUGAGAUCAGGUUUCUUUGUUAACACAGUUCCUAGGGUGUACGACGAUAAUUCUAGUCUUAGCAUUAGUGAUUGCAAGGACAUCUGCUGGAAAGAUUGUCUAUGUGUUGGUGUUAGUACCAUAGGCAAUAAUGCCAACAAUACUGGAUGCACGUUUUAUUAUGGAAGCUUUACACCAGAUCCGAGUGGAGAUGCAAUGCAAUACCACAUCAUUGUUCAAGACUCUUCAGGUUAGCUGUUCUUUCGUUUUCUGGUUAUCAAUAUAUAACCCAACAAUGUAAUUAAUUUUAAAUAAAUUCCCAUUGGAUGUAGGGAAAAGGAAAAGCAAUUGGAUAUGGAUUAUUUUAGCUCCUUUGGGAUUUGUUGCAUUGAUGGGGCUCGCGGGACUCUUGUGGUAUCUGAGAAGGAGAAGACUUAGAGGUAACAUUUUCUAAAUAACAAACAAAUUUACUGAUUUUAAGACUAGUUGAAUUCCGGGAUUAGCUUACUUUAUCAUAUCAAUCUGAGCAGAGAAGUAUCUCAAUGAGUUGCUGACAUUGGAUUCAACGAACGAUACGCUUGAACUCGAAAAUGACGGAAACAAAGGCCAUAAUUUAAAGGUAUAUAGUGCAGCAACAAUUAUGGCUGCUACAAAUUCCUUUUCUGCAGACAAUAAACUUGGACAAGGUGGUUUUGGACCAGUUUACAAGGUAGUUUGUUUAAAAUUACUUCAAGAAAAGGAUUGAAGAACUUAUUAACUUUAUAUCUCAGACCAAGUAUUGAAUUCAGAGCUGUUUUACUUCAGGGGAAAUUCCCGGAUGGGCGAGAGAUAGCGGUAAAAAGACUGUCUAGAAGUUCAGGACAAGGGCUGGUGGAAUUCAAAAACGAGCUUAUACUCAUAGCUAAAUUGCAACACAUGAAUCUUGUCAGACUCCUAGGCUGCUGCAUUCAAGGGGAAGAGAAAAUGUUAGUGUACGAAUACAUGCCUAAUAAAAGCUUGGAUACAUUUAUAUUUGGUAAGUUAAUUAUGCCAUCAUACUAUAAAGUGAAUGGAUCUCUGUUCUUGCAAGGUUUUGGACUCAGCUGAAUAACAUUGCUGGAAUAUAUUCACUGUUAUGUUUUAAAUGCAGAUCAAUCAAAAAGGGAGCUCAUAGACUGGAAGAAGCGAUUUGAAAUCAUUGAAGGGAUAGCUCAAGGGCUCCUUUACCUUCAUAAGUAUUCAAGAUUGAGGAUAAUUCAUAGAGAUUUGAAGGCUGGCAACAUACUACUUGAUGAAAAUCUGAACCCCAAAAUUUCUGAUUUUGGCAUGGCAAGAAUUUUCAAGAUCAAUGAUUUACAAGGAAAUACAAACCAAAUUGUUGGGACGCGGUGCGUAUACAUUUAUAGUUCUAUGAUUCAUUACUCUUCAAGUGCUUAAAAAUAACAUAACAUUCAGUUUUUCCAUCCAGUGGAUAUAUGUCCCCUGAGUAUGUCAUGGAGGGCAUCUUCUCUGUGAAAUCCGAUGUCUUCAGUUUUGGAGUUCUACUGCUGGAAAUUGUGAGUGGUAGAAGAAUCCAUGGCCUCCUUGAAAUAGACGGCCGCCCUCUCAAUCUUGUGGGAUAUGUAAGUUCAUUUCAAGCAACCUCAUAAAUGAUAACAUUUCUAGCUGCAUAAGCUUAAUUUUAACAUUAAACGUACACUUGAUUCAGGUAUGGGAGCUAUGGAAAGCAGGUAGCCCAUUUGAGCUGGUGGAUCCAAUACUAAGAGAAUCUUGCUCUGAAGACCAAGUCUUGAGAUGCAUUCAUGUGGGCUUGCUAUGUGUAGAAGACAAUGCAGUGGAUAGGCCGAUGAUGUCAGAUGUUAUAUCAAUGCUAACAAGCGAAGCACAAUUACCUCUUCCCAAACAGCCUGCAUUUUCCAGUGCAAGAAGUAUUGUGGAAGAAAAUCCAGCAGAGAUUGGUUCCAUAAAUUAUGUAUCUCUGUCAACCAUGGAUGCGAGAUAGAGGUUGAUUAGAGCGUUAGAUGGUUUAUUUCUCCUCACAUUUUGUAUGUCAUUCUCCAUCAGUAUUUUGCUUUUCAAUGCUUAGUAUUUUUUGGUUGCAUAGAAGUUUUUAACAAGGUUGUAUUUUAUAUUAAUAUAUGUACCAUUAUUCGUUAUGAUAUCCAAUAAAAUAAUGAAGAGAUUAGCUUUAUAUAUAUAUUUAUAUUUGAUGAUGUAUAAAAUCUAAGAUAUGUAAAUAAAAGUUUAUUUAUAUAAUGGUUAUUGGAUUGUUUAAUUAUAUGAGUAUAUAAGUUUUUUUUAUUUACAUUUAGGAGUUGUUUUUAGUGUGAAAAACAUGUUAAAGAAUUUUGUAUAUUCAGUUUUUUUUUAAUUAUGUUUUCAUGUUUCGGAUUGGAUGCUUAUUCUUAUCAUUUAUUUAUUUUUAUUGUAAUUUUAAAAUUUAUUAUUUUUAUUUUGGAUAUUUUUGUAUUGUUUUUUUUUUGUGUGAUUUUAACCGCACGGUUUUCUCAUACAUGGUGCUUUUGAUCUUAUAACCAAGGUCAUAGUUUAAAAAGUUAACAGUAAUUGAUUUUUUUGUCUUUUUUUUUUAUUUGUUUUUCUAUGAAAAUUAUUCUAUUUUCAUUUAAUUUUUACUUUGUUAACAAAUAAGAUCAUUGAGAUGUUUUUGGAGUAAUGUGAAGAUAUAUUUUCAUAAUAAUAGCAAAUGUUUAUCUUUUGCAUUGAAUCUUUAUUUUUUUUCCGCUUAAUUGCAACAAUAACAUGGAAAACUCCAAAUUAAUUGCAAAAUGGUUCUUUAAAAUUUUAAAAAUAAUUAAAAUUAAAAUAAGAUGUAUUUGACAAAACACAAAAAUAAAUAAAUAAAUAAAUAUUAUAAAAAAUAGUUUAUGACAUAUUUGCUAAACACACCCUUGGCUAAAAAAUGCAUACAAAAAACUUAUCUUGAGAUUUUGUUUGCCAAACUCAUCUUAAGAUCCAAAAAAAACAUUUUUUGUUUGGUAAAUUUCUAUUAGGCCAAGGGUAUUAAUUUUUGAACAACUAAUUAAUAUUUUAUUUAUUUUCAGAUUCACAAACAUUGAGGCCGCUUGAGAAAUAUCGAAUAUCUUGUUGUAUGUUCGUUCAACUAUUUUAUUUAUUGAAUUGAAAUGAUGAUUUCUUUUUUAAUUUUUAGGAGACAUAUAACAGCCGGUUGAGAGAGAGAUAUGGGGACGAUCUUUCGGCCCACCCGGAGUUCAAUCUGGAUUUGUGGAUGGAGGCAUGAUCAUUUGGUGGACCCAAUAAAAAUUGGGUGUACGGGCUCUCCAACACUAUGGCCGAGAACUUAUGGGCGGUCCGUAGUGUCUCAACCGUUAGGAGCUCUCAAUCGGUAUCGAGCACCCAAUCUUAGGAGUUUGCGGCCUUGCAGUAACACACGGCUCAUCUCAUCGAAAAAUACGACCAACUCUCGGUGGAUUAUGAACAACUCCGCCAAAUAAUCAUGGACUUGAGAUCACAGAUGGGUGGUACGUAUGUGCCCCUUUUUUUGCCGUAUAGUUCCGAAAACGACCAGCCUCCUCCUCCUUCUCAUCCAUCUCCGUCAUUGUUCUAGUUCAAUUUUCUUUUGGAAACACUUGAAAAUUGUAAUGAAUAUUUGGAUGAAUAUUAUUUAACUUUAUUUUUAUAUUUUUAAUGUUUUAUAUAAUUUUAUUUGCUUAAUUGGUUUUUUUUACUAUUAUUCUAUAAAAUUUUAUAUUAUUUAUUCUACACAAUUUUAUUUUUUAAAUAAUUUUUAAAUUUGAACCAACAGAUUUACAAACGAACUUAGUUCAUUGGUAUUUUACAGAAAGUUGCAAAAUAUUUACUGCAUAUACCAUAAUCAUCGACGACCCUAUAGACAGACAUAGUCUAUCGAUAUUUUACAGCGAGUUAAAAAAUAAUUAUUGCAUAUGCCACAAUCACCGACGACCGUACAGACGGAAAUAGUUUGUUAGUAUUUUAUAGAGAGUUGAAAAAUAUUCACUGUAUAUGCCACAAUCACCGACGAACUAAUUCCGUCUAGGGGUAAGCAAAAAAACCGAGAAACCGAUUAAACCGAGAAAACCGAGAAAAAAAUAACUAAAAACAUCGAACUCUAAAAAAAAAAUCGAUAAAAAUUUUUGAAAAAUUUUUCAAUUCGGUUCGGUUUUAGAAACUAGAAAAACCCGAACCAAACCGAACUGGUUCAGUUAAGGGGGUACUAAAAAAAAAUGUGUUCUUAUUCUUAACCCUAGCCUUCCAGACUCCAGUCGUUCUUCUCCUUGCUCCUAAGCCGCUCCCUCAACCCUCAGUCCCUCACAAUUCACACUUUCACUAACAAAUCUGUAACGAAAUCAAGUUAAUCCAUCUUCAUCCACAGCCAUAGCCAGCCACAUCCCUCUCCCACACCCUCUUUAUCUUUAAACUAGUCAGUCAGCCACAUCCCUCUCUCACACUCGACCUUGGAUUGUAUGACACACACCACACUGGCACACCGAACCUCCAGAGUCCAACUCCAGAUCUAGCAAACCAGUAUGUCUUUGUGUCUUCUCUAACUUCCCCAUUCACUUUCUGUAUUCUCUAACAGCUCACAUACCCAAGGGCGGAAGGAAGGGGGGGCAAGCAGGGGCCCGGGCCCCCACUCUCCAUCCAUCCAUCCAUGCAUAUAUAUACAUAUAUAUAUAUAUAGACACACACACAUACAUACAUACAUAUAAAAGUGUGGAGGAGGUUUUUUAUUCUAUAAAUGUGAGUUUUUUUUACCAUAAUUAAGUGUGAUUUUUCAAUUUGAUUUUUUUUUUUUUGAAUUAAGUUGCGUAACCCUAAUAUAAAUACUGUAAAUAUAAAAUCAUUACUUUGUGUAAUAAAUUUUGCAGCCGGUCAAAAACAAAAAUAUAAAUAUAAAUCACAAGUAAAAGUUUUUAACGAAAAUAUUGAAGCAGCGCCAUCAAUUAAUUUAUUUUUCAUCAAAUAAAACAAGGUAACUUAAUUUUAAAAUCUAUUUUUAUUUUAUUUUGAGAUAUUUGUUAAUAAUUUGAUAAGUGUUUUUUUUUAUAAUUCUACUAUUUUCUCUUUAUUUUUUUCUUAGAUCUGUUAGUUUUACCAAUUGUUUUUUGAAUUCUUGUUAUAAUGCUCUCUUUUUUCUAAUUAAUUAUAUAUAUUUUAUUGGUUUGUUUUAAUUAUACUUGGAUUUUUUUAUGUUUUGUUUUUAGCAGAGUCAUCCAAAUUAUAGGUUGAACCACGAACAAAAUAAGAAGAAUUUGAUUUUUUUAAAAAAACAAAUUAUUGAUAACUUGCAACCUAGUGAACCAACUCCAAUGUAUAAUGUUAAAGUUAUAGUUGAGUAACUCCAAUGCACUUCAGUUUACAAAAAACCCGUGUUGAUUAGUGAGAAUCAUUCUUUAUUGUUUUUUUGCUUUAUUUCAAAGUUUAUCGAACAUAAAUAAUACUUCGCUUUAGGUGAUGUUUCUUAUAUACUUUGUAUGUUUAUGUUUGUUAGUUAUAAAGACUAACAACAUUAAAGUGAUGAAUAUAUUAUGAAGAUGAAAUUAACUUCGUUGCUUUUGACUCAAUUUGAUAUUGCUACGAACUUUUUACUUUAUACAAAGAUCAUUAUAUAUUUGUAGUAAGUUAUUUGAAUAAAACUAAAUUAUACAUGUUUUUUUUACAACUCAUGUAUAAUAAAUUAAAAUAAAUAUUAUAUUUUAUUAUAUUAAUUAUGGCCUCCCCUAACAAAUAAUCCUAGCUCCGCCCCUGCACAUACCACUCUGUCUCUGUGUCUUCUCUCAGUCUUCAAGAUGAGAGCAAAGGCAUUGCCAUUCUUGAUAUUAUUUCUCAGUGUUACUCACUGUAUCUCCCAUGCAGCAGAACUCAAUGGACCUUCAAAGCAGCCAGAGACCAUUAGUUUCGGAACAGCCGGAGGGCUGAGACAGGGCUUCCCUAAGUGGUUUGUCUUUGGAACUGCUACUUCUGCUCAUCAAGUUGAAGGCAUGGCUGACAAGGAUGGUCGUGGGCCUAGCAUUUAGGAUGCCUUUGUCAAAAUUCCUGGUAAUAAUUAAUAUGUUACGGUGUUUGGUUGCUUCAUUAAAAAAAAUUAAAGUUUUUCUUUAAUGACAAUGAUGUUUUUGUUGGCUUAAUGCAACAGCUAGUGAUAAAAGUUAAAAACUUAAUAUUGAGGCCUUAGAGUAUUUUGUUUUGGUAAUAAUAUGAAAUGAAAAAGUUGAACUUCGAUGCAUACCGGUUCUCGAUUUCAUGGUCCAGGAUUUUCCCUGGUAAUUGUUUCAUCUGCAGUUUCUAUUAAAUUCAAAUUUUGUUUGUGAGUUUGUAUCGUUGGCUUUCCUAGCCUUCUUUGACUUCUUUGAUGCAGAUGGAGCUGGAAAAGUGAAUUGGAACGGAGCUGGUAAUAGGUUGAUCGAUUACAUGAUCGAAAGAGGUAUGUUUUUCUAUGAAAUUUUAAAUGAGAUGUAUGUUGAUUGCCAACUAAUUGCUUUCACAUUUAUCAAGAUAUAGGGAUAUAAUUUAUGUCCAUGAAUAUUUUGUAGGCAUUACUCCAUAUGCGAAUCUUUAUCACUAUGAUCUUCCGCAUUAUUUAGUACAGGUGGUCGUGUACUUGAUUAAUUCCGGCAACUGUUCAAGCUCAUUUGUUGUCAAAAUUAGUUGCUUCAUGGAUCAAUUCCAACUAAUAUUAGAAGCUUGAUAAAUAUCUUGAAACCUACAAAAACCUUGAGUCAGGUAAUAUUUUUUAUAAACAUGCAUCUUUUAUUGUGAUUUAUUAAUUAAAUCGUUUGCAAUCAUCUAAAAUGUCUAAUUUUUUAUUUUAUAGAAUUUGGUGGAAAGUUACAUCUAGUAACGGAUAAUAAUUAGUUCAAAAGUUACUUUGAUGGCAAAAUACUACUUUUUAUUUUUACAUAUUCUAAUUUAUUUUAUCAUGUUAUAAUUUUAGAUCUUGAUUUCUAGGUUUUGAUGUCAAUGGUAUUAAGGAAUCAAAGUGCAAUGUUCUUGUCAUCUUGAUGUGCUUUUCGAUUGGGAUGAUGUGCACAAUGAAGAUUUAUAUUUUUUGCAUGAAGUGUUUUAUUUUUUAUGGUAAGGUUAUUUGUUGUUUUUUUUUAAGCCCUUUUGAAGGCAAUGCCUUGUAAUUUAAUUUUUAACUUGGUGUGUGUUCUUUAAACUUUGAUGCAGGAGGAGUACAAAACACAAAUAUUAGAAAGACUUGAAACAUAUUGAACACAAUAUUAACACUGAUAAUUUAAUAUAAAUGAAUAUUCAAUGACAAAAAUAUUAAAUAUAUUAUAGAAUCUUGUAACAGAAUUAAAUAAUAUUAACAUUAAUUAUAAGCCUAUCAAAUAGCCCAUAAAAAACCCAUUAGAAAAAUAAAAAAAAAAAUUCCCAAAACAAAUCCAGGUUUUUCGGUUUUUCUGUUACAAAAACCAUACCAAAACCAACAUUUUACAUUAACCUUACCCAUCACCUACAUCAUUUCCUACUGCUCAAAGUAAAAAAAAAAGAAAAAGAUAUUUCAUUUGCAAAUCCUAGGAAGUCUCAUACGAUUUAAAGCAAAGCAUGCUCCCUACAUCAUCAUCUUGACAAAUGGCAGAGAUGCAUGCAAGAACAUGCAAAAACCAACUUUACAGUGGAAAGCUUGAAAAGGAACAAAAAGAGAAGAAGGAAAAACUACCUAGGGCAGCUGAGAGGGAGGUUUCUGGUUUGAAUGGAUAACUUGAGAUCAGCUUGAUACCCUCGCUAAACUCACGAGACUGGAAAUAAUGUAUGUUUUCUGCUUUGUAAUGACAACACUUUGUUUUUCUCCUUGUUACUAACACUGAACUUCUCUUUGGUCCCGACUAUACGUCUGAAGUGCCCUCCCCGUAAGUGAAGUUAAAUAUAUAUAUAUGGCGAGAAGUGUUUAGGGGGAACUAACAAUGGCUGCUGUGGUGUGCACUGGUGUUCAGUGAUCUGGAGUGGGUGAUGCAGGAUGUAAAGGUUUUCCAAAACUAGGAACUAGGGCUUGAAAUAAGUAACGACAGUGUGGUUAUCGCCCCUCCUUUCCAGGCUCUUGCUUUUUUGUGUCACAGCUUAAUUAUCCUCCCCCACUUUGGUUAAUAUUUGGUGGGAGUUUUAUAGAACAAUAUUGCGAAAAAUCUAGAGGCCAUGAGCUGGGUGCAUCUCAUCCCUUGAUAGAAAAAAACAGAUCAUAAUCAUUCAUUGAGGCUACGGAUCAGCCUUUGCAUAUAUUGUAAGAGAGCUCGCAAGGGAGGAGGACACCAGUUGUUUCUGUUAUUUUUGGUAGAUAUAGCUGGUUGGGUAUGUGUUUUGUUGUCUAUUGAGAGAGGCUUAGGGGGAAGGAAAUGAAUUCUGAUGGUUGGAUGACGGUGAAACAGUUCUUGAAAGGUCACAAUUCAACCACGCUUUUCGGGUUUUUUUCCGGGAACGAUGAUUAACAGUGGUUAAAUAACAUGUUGUUCGGCCUUAAUUUUUUUUCUUAAUCUUAGAUUUUUAAAAAACAAAUCGUUAUACUUAAAUGGAACGGUGCUGUUUUGGCAACUCUAGGUUAAUUUAGUUUAAAUCCUUCUUUUUUUAUUGCAGCUCUUAAAUUUUUGGAUUUUUGCAAUUAAGCCCUUAAUUGAUCUAGAAUUAUAGGAAUUAUUUUAAUUGCAUCCCUAGGAUGUUUCACUCAGAUCCUCCAAAUUUUGUACCUUUUUCUAUAUAGUCCAUGGUGUUGGAUAUUUUCAAUUUCAUCAUCAAUUGGCCAUCCAGACUUCUAAUUUCAUCCAAUUAAGCCUUUUAAACCAAUUAGGCUCUCAAGAGUUCAACUAGAUCCUUUAUCUUUUAAAUAUUGCAAAUUAAAUCGAAUUAGGCCUCCAAACUUAAUUUUCUUUCAAUUAAAUCAUUAAAUAACUCAAAUAAACUCAUUACAAGUGUAAUUAAGCCUUCUAACUUAAUUAAUUCUUCCGAUUUUGGUCAAAUUGAUUUUCAAACUUAAUUUUGCUUAAUCAAGUUCUUAAUUAAGUCAAUUAUACUGAUUAAAAUUUUAUUAAUAUUAAUAUAUAAAAACAAAAAACAAAUUCCUUCUUUAAAAAAUGCAUUUAUGUUUUAAAUUGCAUAUGGCUAAUUAUAUCCAAAAAAAUCAUGUUUCCAUUCUAAUACAAAAAAUAAAAAAUAAAAUACAUUGCAUGAUUUAACAAUUUACUACAAGAUUUUACAGUUUUACCAACGAAAAUAUUCCAAGCGGGAAUUCAUAGUUUGUCGGUAAUUUUAUUACUGACGACAUCAUCGAUGGAAACUGUCCGUCGGCUUUCCUUUCGUCGGUAAUACCUCAUUCCAUUGCUAAAGUGGUCGGUAAAAAAAAACAUUGCCAAUGGUUUUACAGAUGGAAAUUGCAUGCAAAAAAAAAAAUUCCCGCUUGAAAUAUACCGAUGAAUUCAUUCCGUCAUAUGCAAUACCGACAGACUAUUUCCAUCGGUGAUUGUGAAAUGUGCAGAAAGUUACUGUGAAAUGCCAAUGAAUUUAUUCCAUCUGUAACUUCGUCACUAAGAUCCCUGCUCCAUAUCAAAUGCCGACGGAUACAUUCUGUCUAUAAAACCCUUUGUAAGUAUUUUUUAUAUAUUUUUUUAUUUGUAUAAUUUUAAAUAUAUAGAGUUCAACUUUUGAAAAAACUAGCCCAGUCAUGACCAACAGACUUAGCCGAUUCAAAAUCCAGAGGGAGUUUUUAUUUUCAGCAAAAUAUUUUAGAAAUUAGAUUUAAGUAUUUUUUUUUUAGAUCAAUCUAGAUUUGAUUAAGCUAUUGGAUAUUUGGGUUUAUAAUUAAGAUCUAGAUCUUGGUUGUUUGUGUUUUAAAAAUAUUUUAUGAAAAAUUAAUUAUUUUAUUUUAAAUUAAUUAUUUAAUGUUUUCAUAUUAUUUUGAUAUGAUUAAAUUUCUAAUGAUAUUAUUAGAGGUUUAUAUGUGGUUAAUAUAUUAUUAAACUUAUUUAAAUCAAUAACUAAGAAUCUUAAGUUUUUAUUAAAAAAAAAACAUUUCCGUUCUUUUAAUAUCUUUUCUAUUAUGAAAAAAAAAACACAUGGCAUAAUCUAGUCGGUUAUUAAGCUGCGAGGCGAGCAUUUUUUGAUUGCUAGUGGAUCAUUGAGGAGCAAUGACAGUUUCGAAAAUGUUGACUAGACUUUUAAACAGGUAAAUAGUAAACCUAACCAAAAAAAAAAAAAAACAUCUUUCAAGAUUAUAAAAUUAUUUAUUUUUAUGUUUUAAAUUUUUUUAAAAAAAUUAUUUAUUUUUCUUCUUCAAAUUAAUAUUUUUCUGAUAUUUUAAAAUUAUUUUUAUGUGCUGAUAUCAAAAAUAAUUUAAAAAAAUAAAAAAAUUAUUAUUUAUAUACAUUUUCAAAUAAAAAAUACUUUGAAAAACAACUAUAAUCAUAAUUAUGAUAUGUUUGAGAGUGUAUUAAUAGUUAUAGUUUAAAAUAUUUUUUAUUUGAAAAUUUAUAAAAUAAUAUUUUUUUAAUUUUUAAAAAUUAUUUUUAAUAUCAACCAAUCAAAAUAAUCUAAAAAUCUAAAAAUUAAUUUUAAAUAAAAAAAAUUAAUUUUUUAUAAAAUACGGAUUCAAUCACCGGUCAUUGUAUUUUGUGUUCUAUUAAUAAAUCCCAUUAUCAGCUCUGAAAAAGUUUUUUAAAAAUAAUAAUGUUAUAUAUUUUUCAAUAAUUUUGAUGGUCCAUGUUUAAAAUAAAAUAAAUAAAAGUAUUUCAAUAUCUUUAAAAAUGCCAAACAAUUAUUUGACCGAUGUUAUAUCGCGAUCUAGAUGGCUACCAUUGUGCCGGUGUUUCUAGGGGUCCACUGGAAAACUGCGGUGCCGGAAAUAUUGAAUAAACUGCGCGCCUUCCGUUUUCAAAGAGGCAACAACCUAUAAAAUGUCGUCGGCAGGCAGGCAAGGAAGGUUUUAGUUCUUUUGAAGUUUUGAAGAGAUCAUGUGCUUGCAUGGACACGUGGUGCUGUAGAAGAAAAUUGCCUGCCAUGGACAUGCUUUGCACCGCACAAAUCGUGUCUAUAAUGCAUAUUCACCCUUUUUUUCUACGAUUAUUAUGCGUGUAUACAGUUGUUUGGUGAUCGAUUGAUCAUCGUCCCGUAUCAAGGGCAGAGACUUCUUUUUGGUGUCAGGGACUGGAGGUAAAUAUCACUCGGUUUUUUUUAUCAUUUUGCAAUUGAUUAUUUUCUUCUAAUUAGCGCUCGCCAUUGAUUGAAUCGAACACGGGAUUUAUAGAAAGGUUUUAUUUUUAAAACAUGUUUGUUUUUUAUGUUUUAAAAUUAUUUAAAAAAAACUAUUUUAUUUAUUUAAUUUAGAUUAAUAUUUUUUAGUGUUUUUUUUUAUUAUUUUGAUAUUAUAAUAUAAAAAUAUUUUUAAAAUAAAAAUACUUAAAUAAUUAUCAUCACAUCCAUAAACACUGAUAAAUGCAUUUAUGCUUUUUUACGGGACAGUGAAUUUUUUUUUUCUAUAUGAGAAAAAGAAGGAAAAUAAAUGAAACGAGAGGAUUGGAAAAACCUUGUCUGCCCCUGUCGUUGUGUGAAAAGAUUUUUUAUGUCCAAUUUCAAUUGAUCUUGAAUCUUUAAACACAACAAACAAAUACUGUCCUGUUCAAACCAGGAAGGAAAAAAAAACAUGAUUAACGCGUUCCCUCUGUUGACCAUUUAACAACAAAACCAUUUCUUGUUUGCCUUCUUUUCUUUAUUAUUUUUUAUUUUUCUUAUGAAUUAGGAAAGAGAAAAGUCCAAAUCUAUUUCAAUGAUUUACGAACCGGCAAGUCAAAAUUGAUGGCUACAUUUUUUAUUUCAUUUUAGGUAGAUCAUGACACAUAGCUCAUCAUCUACUAAAUGCUUCUUACUUUUUUCUUCCUUGUUCAUGAAUGUCACCUUCCAUGGCUAGAAGGAUCUACCGGUUCCUUUUGUUUUGCUUCUAUGCCUCUCACGUUUUGUCAGCAGACACACUGUACCAAGGUGGUGAUUCCCUCAAUUCUUCCAGUACUCUAGUUUCCAAAAAUGGGCUCUUCACUUUAGGAUUCACAAGACUCGGCUCUGCCGAGUCGAAUACUAGCUACUUGGGAAUAUGGUACAACAAUGACAGAAGCCACCCUUUUUGGCUAGCCAACAGAGGCAAACCCAUAGCAGACAAUUCAGGGGUUCUUGCAAUAGAUGG
rnacentral:lncRNA from 1 species